rnacentral:rRNA from 1 species
UGGGGAAUUUUGGACAAUGGGCGAAAGCCUGAUCCAGCAAUGCCGCGUGUGUGAAGAAGGCCUUCGGGUUGUAAAGCACUUUUGUCCGGAAAGAAAUCCUUGGCUCUAAUACAGUCGGGGGAUGACGGUACCGGAAGAAUAAGCACCGGCUAACUACGUGCCAGCAGCCGCGGUAAUACGUAGGGUGCAAGCGUUAAUCGGAAUUACUGGGCGUAAAGCGUGCGCAGGCGGUUUGCUAAGACCGAUGUGAAAUCCCCGGGCUCAACCUGGGAACUGCAUUGGUGACUGGCAGGCUAGAGUAUGGCAGAGGGGGGUAGAAUUCCACGUGUAGCAGUGAAAUGCGUAGAGAUGUGGAGGAAUACCGAUGGCGAAGGCAGCCCCCUGGGCCAAUACUGACGCUCAUGCACGAAAGCGUGGGGAGCAAACAGGAUUAGAUACCCUGGUAGUCCACGCCCUAAACGAUGUCAACUAGUUGUUGGGGAUUCAUUUCCUUAGUAACGUAGCUAACGCGUGAAGUUGACCGCCUGGGGGAGUACGGUCGCAAAGAUUAAAAACUUAAAGGAAUUGACGGGGUCAUAGCUGUUUCCU